rnacentral:rRNA from 1 species
AUUGAACGCUGGCGGAAUGCUUUACACAUGCAAGUCGAGCGGCAGCGCGGGGGCAACCCUGGCGGCGAGCGGCGAACGGGUGAGUAAUACAUCGGAACGUGUCCUUAAGUGGGGGAUAGCUCGGCGAAAGCCGGAUUAAUACCGCAUAAGCUCUGAGGAGGAAAGCGGGGGCUCCGUAAGGACCUCGCGCUGUUGGAGCGGCCGAUGUCGGAUUAGCUAGUUGGUGGGGUAAAGGCCCACCAAGGCGACGAUCCGUAGCUGGUCUGAGAGGAUGAUCAGCCACACUGGAACUGAGACACGGUCCAGACUCCUACGGGAGGCAGCAGUGGGGAAUUUUGGACAAUGGGGGCAACCCUGAUCCAGCCAUU